UUGUGCCUACGGGGGGCAGCAGUGGGGAAUAUUGCACAAUGGGGGAAACCCUGAUGCAGCGACGCCGCGUGAGUGAAGAAGUAUUUCGGUAUGUAAAGCUCUAUCAGCAGGGAAGAAACCCACCCUUUGGGGUGGCUGACGGUACCUGACUAAGAAGCCCCGGCUAACUACGUGCCAGCAGCCGCGGUAAUGCGUAGGUGGCAAGCGUUAUCCGGAUUUACUGGGUGUAAAGGGCGUGUAGGCGGGGACGCAAGUCAGAUGUGAAAACCACGGGCUCAACCUGUGGCCUGCAUUUGAAACUGUGU
rnacentral:rRNA from 1 species